UGAUCGAUGGAGUCAGGUAUUGAUCAAAA
rnacentral:sRNA from 1 species